rnacentral:tRNA from 1 species
GCCGAAGUGGCGAAACUGGCAGACGCACUAGAUUCAGGUUCUAGCGCCCGCAAGGGUGUGCGGGUUCAAAUCCCGCCUUCGGCACCA